AAGUCGUAACAAGGUUUCCGUAGGUGAACCUGCGGAAGGAUCAUUAUUGAAUUUAAUGUAGAGAUUUGGUUGUAGCUGGCCCUUCAAUUUAACUGUUGUUGGGCAUGUGCACACCUUUCUCUUUCAUCCACACACACCUGUGCACUUGUGAGACAGCUUGGAGGACUUUAUUGGACUCCUUCUGUCUACUUAAUCCACACAAACUCAAUUUAUUUUAAACUGAAUGUAUUUUGAUGUAACGCAUCUAAUACUAAGUUUCAACAACGGAUCUCUUGGCUCUC
rnacentral:misc_RNA from 1 species